GAUGAAGAACGUAGCGAAAUGCGAUACUUGGUGUGAAUUGCAGAAUCCCGUGAACCAUCGAGUCUUUGAACGCAAGUUGCGCCUCAAGCCAUUAGGUUGAGGGCACGUCUGCCUGGGCGUCACAUAUCGUUGCCUGAUGCCAGUUUCCUCGUGAUGGGUGACUGUGCAGGGCGAAUGAUGGCUUCCCGUGAGCAUUGUUGCCUCAUGGUUGGUUGAAAAUUGAGUCCUUGGUAGGGAGCGCCGUGAUAGAUGGUGGUUGAGUGACGAACGAGACCCAAUCAUGUGAGACCCCUACCGAAUUUGGCCUUCAUGACCCACAUGCGUCUUUGGAACGCUCAUGACGAGACCUCAGGUCAGGCGGGGCUACCCGCUGAGUUUAAGCAUAUCAAUAACGGAGGA
rnacentral:misc_RNA from 1 species